rnacentral:lncRNA from 1 species
CCUAUAAUAGCUAAGCUCACCCCCAUGACAAAAAAAACAUGAAAAUACAAAAAAAAAAGUCCUUACUACAAAGACUACUCAAAAUGCCCCGAAAUACAAGGCUAAAACCCUAUACUAUUAGAAUGGCCAAAAUACAAGACCCAAACAAAGAAAAAACCUAUUCUAAUAUUUACAAAGAUAAGCGGGUCAUGCUUAGCCCAUGGGCUCGAAAUCUACCCUAAGGCUCAUGAGAACCUU